rnacentral:rRNA from 1 species
CCUACGGGAGGCAGCAGUGGGGAAUUUUGGACAAUGGGCGCAAGCCUGAUCCAGCAAUGCCGCGUGAGUGAAGAAGGCCUUCGGGUUGUAAAGCUCUUUUGUCAGGGAAGAAACGGUCUUGGAUAAUACCUGGGGCUAAUGACGGUACCUGAAGAAUAAGCACCGGCUAAGCUAUCGUGCCAGCAGCCGCGGUAAU